rnacentral:rRNA from 1 species
GACGAACGCUGGCGGCGUGCCUAAUACAUGCAAGUAGAACGCACAAUAUAUACCGUAGCUUGCUACACCAUAGACUGUGAGUUGCGAACGGGUGAGUAACGCGUAGGUAACCUGCCUGGUAGCGGGGGAUAACUAUUGGAAACGAUAGCUAAUACCGCAUAAUAUUAAUUAUUGCAUAAUAAUUGAUUGAAAGAUGCAACUGCAUCACUACCAGAUGGACCUGCGUUGUAUUAGCUAGUAGGUGAGGUAACGGCUCACUUAGGCGACGAUACCUAUCC